rnacentral:rRNA from 1 species
GGGCCCGCACAAGCGGUGGAGCAUGUGGUUUAAUUCGAUGCAACGCGAAGAACCUUACCAGGGCUUGACAUCCCUCUGACAGGCUUAGAGAUAGGCCCUCUCUUCGGAGCAGAGGAGACAGGUGGUGCAUGGCUGUCGUCAGCUCGUGUCGUGAGAUGUUGGGUUAAGUCCCGCAACGAGCGCAACCCUUGCCUUUAGUUGCCAUCAUUAAGUUGGGCACUCUAGAGGGACUGCCGGCGACAAGUCGGAGGAAGGUGAGGUUGACGUCAAGUCAUCAUGCCCCUUAUGUCCUGGGCUACACACGUGCUACAAUGGGUAGUACAGAGGGGAGCGAAAGGGCGACCUGGAGCAAAUCCCAAAAAGCUACUCUCAGUUCGGAUUGCAGUCUGCAACUCGACUGCAUGAAGUCGGAAUCGCUAGUAAUCUCGGGUCAGCAUACCGAGGUGAAUACGUUCCCGGGCCUU